UCUUGGCCUUGAGCUGUUUGUCUAGC
rnacentral:piRNA from 1 species